UGCGUAGGCGGUGCGGUAAGUCUUCUGUGAAACCUACCGGGCCUUAACUCGGAGCCGUGCAGGGGAAACUGCCGUGCUGGAGUAUGGGAGAGGUGAGUGGAAGUUCCCGGUGUAGCGGUGAAAUGCGUAGAUAUCGGGAGGAACACCUGUGGCGAAAGCGGCUCACUGGACCAUUACUGACGCUGAUGCACGAAAGCUAGGGGAGCAAACAGGAUUAGAUACCCUGGUAGUCCUAGCCCUAAACGAUGAUCGCUUGGUGUGACAGGUACCCAAUCCUGUCGUGCCGGAGCUAACGCGUUAAGCGAUCCGCCUGGGGAGUACGGUCGCAAAGGCUAGAA
rnacentral:rRNA from 1 species